UAUAUUUUGGUGUAUGAAGCACAAGAACUUUUGAUGUUUGAAGAGUCAGUUUAAAUCUGUAAAAUAUAA
rnacentral:tRNA from 1 species